rnacentral:rRNA from 1 species
AUGAAUGCUGGCUGUAUGGAUAAGGCAUGCAAGUCGAACGGUCCGCAAGGACAGUGGCAGACGAGGUAGUAACACGUACGAACGUACUCCAAAGUCGGGCAUAGCUCGUCGAAAGACGGGGUAAUUCCCGAUAGUCCCGAAAGGGUAAAGAUUUAUUGCUUUGGAAGCGGCGUGCGUAAUAUCAGCUUGUUGGUAAGGUAAUGGCUUACCAAGGCUACGACGUUUAGGGGAGCUGAGAGGCUGACCCCCACCGAUGGGACUGAGACACGGCCCAUACUCCUACGGGAGGCCGCAGUCGAGAAUCUUCCGCAAUGGACGAAAGUCUGACGGAGCGAUACAGCGUGGUGGAUGAAGUGCUUCGGUACGUAAACACCUUUUAUGUGGGACGAAAUUAUUGACGGUACCACAUGAAUAAGGGGCUCCUAACUCUGU